rnacentral:rRNA from 1 species
AUUUGAUAUGUAAUGUAAUAUUUGAUCGCUUAUGCGAUCUUAAGUAUAUAAAGAAACUAUUACGGAAAUAAGAGCUAUAUAUCAUAGGAAUGAUUAUUGGGAUGCCCUAUAAAUCCUUGGAAAAAUCCAGUAUCAAACGAAGUGAAUUGAAAUAUCUUAUUAGCUUCAGGAAUAAAAAUCACAAGAGAUUCUUAUAUCAAUUAAAAACUGAUAUGGGAAAAGCCUUUAAAGUAAAAUGGAAUAAUAUUCUGUUUGAAUAUAGGGAAACCUUUCUCUAAGGCUAAAUAUGAUAUAUAAGCGACAGCGUAUAAGUAGCGUGAGGGAAAUAUUUGAAAUAGUAGUUUUAUAAGCAGCUCAAGUUAAAAAUAAGUAGAUAAUUAGAGCGUACCUUUUGCAUAAUGGGUCAGCAAGUUAAUGUUAGAUGCGAGAUAUGUAAUUAUUAUUAAAUAAAGUAAUUAAUACAGCUAACUGUAUGAUGAAAUAGAAUAUUUAAUAAAAAAACAAAUAUCCCAGAUAAACCAAUUAUUAAAUAAUGAACGAGUAUCUAAUAUUAGACCCGAAGCCUAGUGAUCUUACCAUGAUCAGGGUUAUAAAAGCCCGAAUGGCUUAUCGUUGUAAAGAUAUCCAAAGAAUUGUGGUAAGUUAGUGAAAGACAAACCUGACUAGGAUAGCUGGUUUUCUGCGAAACCUAUAUAAGUAGGUGGUUUAAAUAACAUCAUUGCAGGUACAGAAUUGUAAUCCCAGGCAAACUAUAACUUUAUUUAUUCCUUUUAAGGGUAAAAAAAGUUAGUUUGCAUACAUUGGGGGGUCGUGAAGACUCUAUCAGUGGGAAUUUGCUCUCGGAAGGGCAGUGAUGGAUUUUGAACUCUCGGACAUAGUACGAUAAGGUUGUAUGUCUAAAGGGAAACAGCCCAGAACAAGAAUUAAAGGUUCCAAAAUUAUUGUUAAGUGAAAUUAAGGAAGUUUUUUUCGUAUACAACCAGGAAAUAGGCUUAGAAGCGGCCAUUUUUUGAAGACCUCGUAACAGAGCACUGGUUUAUUUCAAAUAAAGUUAAAAGCACCGAAAAUUUAACGGAUCUAAACAAUAUACCGAAAUCUUGUCCACAAAUAAGUUGUAUAAUUUACCAUAUAUAUAAACUUGUGGGGUAGCAGAACGUUGGGUAUAUCUUGGACUGAAUAUUUGUAAUAUUCAGUAAAACAGCUUUAGCUGGUUAAGACAAUCCCAAGUGAGAAUGCUGGCAUGAGUAACGAAAAAGGGGAAUCCCCUCGCCUUAAGCUUAUGGUAUUUUAAUUAAAGUAACGGCCCCUAAAUUUAUUGAACUGCCCUAAAGGAUUAAAUGAUGGGAAAAUCUUUGCAUUUAUCUAACAACACUUUGCCUCCUGAUCAGCAGCAGCAGACAGGAGAUGAGUUCAAAAUGUUCUGGAAAAAGAUUUAUGCAUGUAACCGUACCUAGAUACUACCACAAGUAAGCAAGUAGAGAAUACAAAGGCGUUUGAGAUAACAAUCAUCAAGGAACUCGGCAAAUUGACACCGUAACUUCGGGAUAAGGUGUGCCAUUAUUCCUAAAUUAUAUUAGGUAAAUAAUAGGAGACAUAAAAUGGUGUUGUACGACUGUUUAAUUAAAACAAAGCACUUUGCAUAAGAUGUCAAAUCAAAGUAUUGAGUGUGAUUUCUGCCCGAUGUUGGCUGGUUAACGGAUUUUCUUAGCUAACUUUUAUAGGCUAGGUUUUGAAGGAUACCCCAAUCAAUGGCGGCCUUACCGAUGAGGGUCCUAAGGUAGCGGAAUACCCUGGCCGUUAAAUGCGGUCUUGCAUGAAUGAUUUAACGAUACAACAGCUGUCUCGAUGAUUGUCUCAGUGAAAUUGGAAUAACUGUGCAGAUACAGUUUACCUCUAGUUAGACGAGAAGACCCUAUGCAGCUUUACUGUUACUAGUAAUUGAAUAUGAUCAAACAAGUUGUAGUGUAUAAGGUAGUUGAUGAGAUAAAAUUGAAACACCUUUACUUAGCUUAUCAUAUUAUUAGAAACUUGUUGAAAGCGGGUGCUUGGUGGAGUUAUGGCAUGAGGUUAUAACAAAACCAUUUACACGUUAGUAUAAAACUUAAAGUAACUUAUCUAUAAGAAAAAAAGCGUAUAUAUGUACGUUAAAGAGACAUUUGCUAGUAGAUAGUUUAUGCGGGGCACAGAUCCCAUAAAAAGUACCUGGGUGUAUCCAAAGUUAAUUUUGUAAAUUUCUAAGUUAUGUUUGU